rnacentral:rRNA from 1 species
UACCAGCUCUCCGAGUUGUAGGGAUGAUUAUUGGGCUUAAAGCGUCCGUAGCUGGCUUAGCAAGUCUCCUGUUAAAUUCAGCGACCUAAUCGUUGAGCCGCGGGAGAUACUAUUAGGCUAGGAGGCGGGAGAGGUCGACGGUACUUUCGGGGUAGGGGUGAAAUCCUAUAAUCCCGGGAGGACCACCAGUGGCGAAGGCUGUCGACUAGAACGCGCUCGACGGUGAGGGACGAAAGCUGGGGGAGCGAACCGGAUUAGAUACCCGGGUAGUCCCAGCUGUAAACUAUGCGGGCUAGGUGUUGGGGUGGCUACGGGCCACUUCAGUGCCGCAGGGAAGCCAUUAAGCCCACCGCCUGGGGAGUACGGCCGCAAGGCUGAAACUUAAAGGAAUUGGCGGGGGAGCACCACAAGGCGUGAAGCUUGCGGUUC